GAUCGCGGCGACGUGGGCGGUUCGCCGCCGAUGACGUCGCGAGAAGUCCACUGAACCUUAUCAUUUAGAGGAAGGAGAAGUCGUAACAAGGUUUCCGUAGGUGAACCUGCGGAAGGAUCAUUG
rnacentral:rRNA from 6 species